rnacentral:rRNA from 1 species
CCUACGGGCGGCACCAGUGGGGAAUACUGCACAAUGGGCGCAAGCCUGAUGCAGCCAUGCCGCGUGUAUGAAGAAGGCCUUAGGGUUGUAAAGUACUUUCAGUUGGGAGGAAGGCGUUGAUGCUAAUAUCAUCAACGAUUGACGUUACCAACAGAAGAAGCACCGGCUAACUCCGUGCCAGCAGCCGCGGUAAUACGGAGGGUGCAAGCGUUAAUCGGAAUUACUGGGCGUAAAGCGCACGCAGGCGGUUGAUUAAGUUAGAUGUGAAAUCCCCGGGCUUAACCUGGGAAUGGCAUCUAAGACUGGUCAGCUAGAGUCUUGUAGAGGGGGGUAGAAUUCCAUGUGUAGCGGUGAGAUGCGUAGAGAUGUGGAGGAAUACCGGUGGCGAAGGCGGCCCCCUGGACAAAGACUGACGAUCAGGUGCGAAAGCGUGGGAGCAAACAGGAUUAGAUACCCGUGUAG